rnacentral:rRNA from 1 species
AUUGAACGCUGGCGGCAUGCUUUACACAUGCAAGUCGAACGGUAACAGGGAGCUUGCUCCGCUGACGAGUGGCGAACGGGUGAGUAAUGCGUCGGAACGUGCCGAGUAGUGGGGGAUAACGCAGCGAAAGUUGUGCUAAUACCGCAUACGUACUGAGGUAGAAAGUGGGGGACCUUCGGGCCUCACGCUAUUCGAGCGGCCGACGUCUGAUUAGCUAGUAGGUGAGGUAAAGGCUCACCUAGGCGACGAUCAGUAGCGGGUCUGAGAGGAUGAUCCGCCACACUGGGACUGAGACACGGCCCAGACUCCUACGGGAGGCAGCAGUGGGGAAUUUUGGACAAUGGGCGAAAGCCUGAUCCAGCCAUGCCGCGUGUCUGAAGAAGGCCUUCGGGUUGUAAAGGACUUUUGUCGGGGAGGAAAGGCUUCCACUAAUACUGGGGGCUCAUGACGGUACCGUAAGAAUAAGCACCGGCUAACUACGUGCCAGCCGCCGCAGUAACAC